AGUGAACGUUGGCGGCGUGGAUUAGGCAUGCAAGUCGAGCGAGAACCGUAGCAAUACGGGGACAGCGGCGAAAGGGACAGUAAUGUGUAGGUACCUACCUCCGGGUUCGGGAUAGCUGCGGGAAACUGCAGGUAAUACCGAAUAACGUCUCCGGACCAAAGGUGUGAUUCCACCUGGAGAGGGGCCUGCAUCCUAUUAGCUUGUUGGCGGGGUAACGGCCCACCAAGGCGACGAUGGGUAGCGGGUGUGAGAGCACGACCCGCGUCAUUGGGACUGAGACACGGCCCAGCCACCUACGGGUGGCUGCAGUCGAGGAUCUUCGGCAAUGGGCGCAAGCCUGACCGAGCGACGCCGCGUGCGGGAUGAAGGCCUUCGGGUUGUAAACCGCUGUCGUAGAGGAGGAAGUGCAGGGGGGUUCUCCCCUCUGUUUGACCUAUUCUAGGAGGAAGGACGGGCUAAGUUCGUGCCAGCCGCCGCGGUAA
rnacentral:rRNA from 1 species